AGCCUGUUCCUAAGAGCGGUGGCUGUCGCUCACACAGAUCCUGAGUGGACUGGAGAUGGGCUGCCGGGGGCUGGCAUUCUUAGGAUCAAGGGCCACAGAUCUUUCCAUCAGAGUGUGGGAGGAGGCACAGAGUCUUGCUUUGUCGCCCAGGCUGCCGUCCAGGGUUGCGAUCUCGGCUCACUGCAAUCUCCACCUACUGGGUUCAGCGAAACUGCUUCUCAAACUGUGGAUCCAGACAAGGUGAAGGACCCUGGUAAACUGAGGACAAUGUUUGUAGCAGAACUCCCCAAAACUAUCGUCACCGACUCAUGACAUCACACAGGCACUGAUGCCCACGCCCACCCUCAGAACUGUCCUCCAAGUCUGCCUCCUGCACCCUAACCGGAGGCACAUCUUGAGGCAACGUCACCUUGAUGAAGUGUCCUCAUCACCCUGGCAUCAGCCAGGCGACAGUGUCCCCGCCCCUUGCUUCUGGAAUGACAGCAAACUGUCGCCUCCCUCGCGGGGCAGGGUCUGCCUGUCUUCAGUCCCUGGGCUGCCUGGAGAAUAAUCACUCACUCUCCCUCUCUGCACCUUUUGCUCUGCCAGGCUUGGACAUUUAUUCAAGCAGGGUUUUAUUUUUUCACUUCUGUUUGCCUAUGUUAACAUCUACAUUGAAGCAAUGCCUGAGUUAUCACCGCAGCUUCCACUUUUGCAGUAAGAAGUUCAUCAAAUCCUUGCCCCAUGGCACCUGGGUGGCCUGACGGCUGGACCUCAAAGGGCAGAAAAAUUCCCAGUUCUGCCUGGGAGAGAACCACACUCUCCCAAUGCGGGGAAGACGGAGUCAUGCCCCAUUCCCCCACGCUGAAGGAAGAGCCAGGAUCCUUGAUGACACCAGUAAAACCUAGCUUCCAGUUCUGCUUGGUGGAAAGCCAGGUAAUUCAAGAGGGAAAGCACAACUGGAAUUCGGGGGCUGAUUUCCGAGUUCUCUGCCCACACACCCUCGGCUCCAGCCCUGAGCCCAGGCCCGGAUGCAGUUGCUUCCCCUGCCCCGUCACGCACUGUGUGUGGCUUUUGGACAAUCAAGGGGAGCUAGGAAGGAGCUUCUGGACGUACUCAGAACAAGUGGAUGCCGGGGUGCCCACAGCACAGAAAGAAAAAGCAAAACAAAACAAUGCAGUGUUUGGCCCUUUGCUAUCAUUUCAUCACAGCAUCCCCCAUCGCCACUUCUCCAUGGUCUCACUUUAUGCUGUUUAGGUUACCUGCGGUCACCCUCGGUUCAAGAAUAAGUGAGUACAGCACAAUAAGACAUUUUGAGAGACAGAGGAACCAUAUUCUCAUAACUUUUAUUACAGUAUAUUGUUACGACUGUUUUGUUUUAUUAUUAGUUAUUGUUGUUCAUCUCACAGUACCUAAUUUAUGAAUUAAACCUCAUCAUAGUCAUGUAUAUACAGAAAUAAAAACGUAGUAUAUACAGGGUUCAGUCCUAUCCAAGGUUUCAGACAUCCGCUGGAGGUCUUGGAGCACAACCCUGAGGAUGAGGGGGGACAGCUGUAAUUGUAACUGCAUUUGCCCUCUGCCAAUCAGCUCUAGUUCUAUAUUUGUUUACAAAUUAGAUAACAGGGAAGAUACAUAAAGCCAUAAGAAGGGCCUUACAGCAGGGAAAAUGGUGAAUAACAACCAAAAAAGCUUAGCUAAAUUAUGAAGGUAAAGGCUAAAGGCAGGACUUCGCCAGAGUUGUUGGCCUGCAAAAAAAGACACUGCUCAUCAGUGAAACACAUUCCAGGGCUGGCCUUCCAGGGACUCUGUGCUGAUGCAGGUGUGCCCACAAAGAAUACUACCUGGUGAUGUUCCAGAAUCCUGAUCUGGGCUGGCAGGAUGGCUCACGCCUGUAAUCCCAGUACUUUGGGAGGCCGAGGUGGGCAGAUCGCCUGAGGUCAGGAGUUCGAGACCAGCCCAGCCAAUAUGGUGAGCCCUCCUCUCUACUACAAAUAAAAAAAAUUAGCUGGGUGUGGUGGCAUGUGCAUGUAGUCCUAGCUACUCAGGAGGCUGAGGCAGGAGAAUCACUUGAACCAGGGAGGCGGAGGUUGCAGUGAGCUGAGAUCACGCCACUGCACUCCAGCCUGGACAAGAGAGCGAGACCCUGUCUCAAAAUAAUGAUGAUGAUAAUAAUAAUAAUAAUAAUAAUUCUGAUCUGUCAUAAAUCUUGUCUUUUCCUUAAAGAGCAUGAAAAAAAUGUUUCCCAUGCUAGAUGGAAAUUGCAAACUCUUUCGCUGAAAAUAAUCAAUGCAACGCAAUUUCCCGUUUCCACCACCUGGUCUUGGAAGACAGGGACACUGAGAUAUCCCAGCUGGGAGGACGGUGCUGAGAGAAUUGUGCAAGCAGAGACUAGUGUCAGCCUUUGCUUGGAACAGCUCCAUUGCAUUUUUAUGAUAUAGUUUAAAGGGAGCUGGUGGGUACAAUUGAUUCUUGUCCUCACAUUUUACAUCAAAGAACCUCCAUUGGCAGUUCAGGUCACCGAAAUCACAAAUGCAGUGGAUUUAAUGGCCCAAGUUUGGUCUCCAGUGAUGAGCAUCAUAGUUACACAAUUGCAAUCUUCUGGCAGGUUUUUGUUGAUAAUAAGUUUGAACUAAUCUACUUUUAGAGAAGGCAGGAGAUGGACCCACUGAAGAGACAAGCAGCGAAGUCCAGCCCCAUUCACUGUGCAGUCUCCUGCAAGGUUAAUGCAGAGAUACCUGCAUGAAAACCGCUUUGCCCCACAUUAAAAGCAGCUUAUCCUUGGGGCUCCCCUUACCACUGCUUCAGCUGCAGGUCUUUGCUUAAAGACUUACAGGCAAAGCACUUACAGUUCCCAAUCCAGUGACAUUUGCAGCUUACUAUAAUUUAUUGAAUAUCGUCCAAAGAGCAAACACAAGGUUUAUCCUGGUGGCGUUUUAGUUGGGUUGUAAAUGUUUGCCAGUUACCAAGAAUAGAAAGAAAGGGUGAGACAGGGACACAGAAAGAGACUGAAAGAGAGAGGGAGGGAGAGAUGCAGAGAAGUGAAGAUACAGAAAGAGAAACAGAGAGGGUUCAGCUCCCAAGAUUGUGCCGAACACGAUGAUGAUGCCACAGCUGGAGUUUUCAUAACUUGGAUUUGCUUCACAUUCAGCCUCAGCUCCCUUUGCCCACUCGAGUCUCAGCCAUCGACACUGGCGCAUCUGCUAAGUUGCCUUGGUAGCCUCCUUGUUCCUCCCUGACCGGGCUCACCUGGAAGCCUGCCUCAGAGAGGGACUUGUUUCUACACCCGGGAGGGAGAGGACAGGAAUGUUCUGCUCUUUCCUUUCCAUAGCCAGAAGAUUCUACAAGGAAUAAUAAUUCUUGAGAAGGGGGAUGAGGGAGGCAAAUGGAGGUUAUCUCAAUUUAUAAACAAGAUAAAUUAUUUGAUAAAGUUAAAAAGAAACAGCCAGAUGUUCAACAUCAUUAGCCACUAGGGAGAAUCGAAUUAAAACCACAAUGAGAUAUCACUAUGUACCUGUGAGAAUGGCUAAAGCCAUAGAGACCGAGAGUCUCGAGCUGCUGAUUCUGCCCUGCUUGUGUUCCCUGAAGUCAAUUUAGAGAACUGCAACCAGCACUUUAUACAAAAUGAAAUUAAUUGAAUAAAAUAUGAAUAUUAGAGAACUUAUCUUAGAGGCAAGUAGAGUUCUGUGAAAUGUUUCUUGAUGAGAUGUGUGUGUUUGUGUAUGUGCACGCGUGUACAUACGCAUAUGUAUGCACUGUGGAUAGUGACAUCAAAAAGAUUAAAAUUAAGUAAAAGGUAUGUUUCUGAAUAUAUAACUGUAUUUAAUAAGCAGAUUAAUGACUUCUCUCACAUUUUAAAUUUACUCAGCUCUACUCUAAAUUUAAAUACACCAAGACCCAAUAUGCCCAUGCUAGCAUAUUAAAUAUGGAGUUUGAAGAUUCUUGUGAAAGUUAAAUGUGGUGAUGUUUAUAGAAGUACUCUGUAAACUAUAAAGCUUGCCCAGAUGCAAGGGAUUCUGCUGCUGAUACUCUUGGAAAACUGAGAAUGUUCUAAAGGGCAGCAUUUUUAAGCGCCUCAGCAUUUUGUCAGUUUUAGGCCUAAGAAUUAGGCAAAGUGUCCCAGAGAGACCGUUCAAAGGCUAAGUUCUAACUUCCUGUCCUGUUAGAGUGCUCUGCUCGGCCACCAGCUGAUUUUUCUCUUUGCUUUGAAGAUCAAUCUUGUGGUCAAAGUAGAGUCACAGUUUCCCAGACUAUUUCUCUUGCUACAAGCUGAUCCUGUGCUGCAUGAAUUACCAGGCUUGCUCCAGGAGGGGUUGGGGGCUUAAAUUUGCAUCAUCAUUCUUCGUUGCCUGCACAGCAUCAGCCAGUGGGCAUUGGGGUCAAGUGCACAAUGCCAGCCACAGGUGGACAUCAUGCCUGAUCAGAUGAAGUCCCACCCUCAGCCCUUGUGCUGGCUGCAUCGUGGCAGGUUAGGAGAUGAUGGUUCCCCCCGGGGACUCUGGUCAGAGGCUCCUUGGCAGGUGCCUGGCUGUCUGCAGAGACUUCAGGGUAUCUGAUCUGACAGUCCUGGCAGCCCAUACUUGUCUGGCACUCUGAGAAGCUGCAUUUCCACCUCCCUCCCAGGCUGCCAGAGGGGAAGAUGGUGAUGCUUCUCCCAUUUGACAGAUGGGAAGACUAAGACUCAGGGAGGCUGAAAUAGUUCCUUACCUCACAAAACACAUAGAUGGCUAAGUUUAAAUUAAAAACUGGGUAUUGUAUUCCCCACAUCUUAGUCCAGUUCUACACCACCAAUGAUUGUAACACAUUGCUCAUCUGUAAAUGUCAUCUAGAGCUCCAGGUAAACAAAGGAUAUUGGUUUAUCCACCUGUGGACUGAUGGCUUUUGGAUACUAAAAGCAUAAAUGCACCAUAUGUCCCAGACAUCUUAAGAAAGCUAAGCAUCUAAUUUCCUGUUGUUCUCAAAAGACUCUAGGUUCGUGUCUAUUAUUUUGUUCAUAGAUGGCAUCCUAAGGCAAUAGAUAAGGCUUAUGCUAAACCCCUUUUAAAACUACAAAAAAUAAGGCAUGAAGAAAGUGACUUAUUUAAGAUCAUGGGGCAAAUUACCCAGUGCCAUGACCCAGACUGCUGUUCUGCCAUCGACCUGGGCAAGAAGGGCUCAGAGAGGGCUGUGGAUACUGUUCAGAUCUGAACCAAACAACUGGGCUUGCCCACGGCUCCACUGAGAUUGGUUUUAACGUCUCCUUUGAGCCUAAUGAGUACAUUCUUAGUAAAGUAAAACACUCAAAUACUUUCACGAAUUAUAUCUUACAAAAUGUGCCAUGUCCCAGUUCCGGAUGUGCAAAAACUGUAAGGCCUAUUUAAUAUUCUCUGGCUUCUGAUUCUACCAAUAAUAUGUCGAUGAAUGAGAGGCAUACAAUCAAAUCGAUGUUUUUUAAAGUUUUAGGUAACUCACUGGCCAACAACACAGGAGUUCCUGUCAUAUACUCAUGCAAUAUGUGGAUCCCCAACAGCCUUCCAACCCGUAUGUGUGUUAAGAGCACAGGUGUCUCUGAGUUUUAUGAGGAAGGAGCACAGCACUGAGCUGAGAGGUGUCUCUAUAGCUAACAUUUCCUGGGCAUGUCCCGAGCACCUACUGCUGGGUGCGCCCUAGUUUUUUCCCGGUAAAUUCACACUGCAUGGCCCCUCUUGGCUUGCUAAUGAAGCACAAGGUUGUUACAGCGUUUGUGU